GGGGAGAGGAACUUGUUCCUCGAGUCGUUGAUUUCACACUGCCGAGAAAAGCCUCUAGCUAGAAUAACGGUGCCCGUACCGCAAACCGACACAGGUAGUCAAGAUGAGAAUUCUAAGGUGAGCGAGCGAACUCUCGUUAAGGAACUCGGCAAAAUGACCCCGUAACUUCGGGAGAAGGGGUGCUCUUUGAGGUUCACGCUUCGAAGAGCCGCAGUGAAUAGGCCCAAGCGACUGUUUAUCAAAAACACAGGUCUCUGCUAAACCGUAAGGUGACGUAUAGGGGCUGACGCCUGCCCGGUGCUGGAAGGUUAAGAGGAGUGGUUAGCGCAAGCGAAGCUACGAAUCGAAGCCCCAGUAAACGGCGGCCGUAACUAUAACGGUCCUAAGGUAGCGAAAUUCCUUGUCGGGUAAGUUCCGACCCGCACGAAAGGCGUAACGAUUUGGGCACUGUCUCAACGAGAGACUCGGUGAAAUCAUAGUACCGGUGAAGAUGCCGGUUACCCGCGACAGGACGGAAAGACCCCGUGGAGCUUU
rnacentral:rRNA from 1 species